AAAAUCUUGUGUGUGUGUGUGUGUGUGUGUGUGUGUGUGUGUGAGAGAGAGAGAGAGAGAGAGAGAGAGAGAGAGAGGGAGAGAGGGAAAGGAGGCAAAGGGGAGCUUCUUUGGUUCAGAUGGAGUAGUGACCUGGCCGUUUUCCCAGGGCCUCCUCCCCCCCACACAGAUUGCUGAGACACCUCUGCUAUGAAUCCCAAGGAUCUGAAAACCCCUAGCCUGGUCUAGGUGAAUGGAUGGACAUUGAAAAGGAAAGAGGAAAUGAGGGAAAGAUGGAAGGAAGGAAGAAAGGAAGGAAGGAAGGAAAGAAGGAAGGAAGGAAGGUUGCCUUUUAUUGCUACUUCCACAAAAUUACUAUGAGAACCAAUAAGAAAAUGUAUAUUUGAGUCAUAAAUUGGAGCUUCCUCUUUUUGUUGGGCAAGGCCACACUUUGAUUCUUUUUUACGCCAAUAAAACAAAUCAUGAUGCACCAAGAGACUAAAGGGGCAGUAAGCAUAUGGGCUCUGGAGCCAGACUGCAUGGGUUUGAAUCCUGGCCCUGCUACUUAGGAGCUGUGUGAUGCUGGAAAAGUUACUUAACUUCUCUGUCUCAGUUUCAUUAGUGACAGGCAGUGUCAGCAGUACCUACCUCAUGUGGUUGUGAGAAUCAUGUCAGCUGAUAUCUGGUGUUUAGAACAGUUUUGGCUAUGUAGUAAUGACUUAAUUUAGCUGUUGUUAUGUUAUAGGUACAUAAGUGUACAAUGCUAUGUUCUAUACAUAGGAUUGCCAGCCUCAGGUCACAUCCUGUCUCACCUAACAGCCCCAGAAGUCGCUUAGCUCUCCCACUGAGGGCAGACGGGCCUCUGUGAACAUGGUGGGUAACUGAGGAUGGGGUGAGAUUUUUUAGGCCUUUUAUUGUUUUGCUUGGGGCAGAAGGCAUCUAUAGUGACAUCCAGUCACCAUCUUAUUGUACAGUUGUGAGACACUGAAAGAUAAGCCUUGACCUAAUUGCCAUGAUCUAGUGAUGUAUUAAUAUAUAUAAACCCAAGGUGGACGGAGCCUCCAAGGUGAUAAGUGAACUCCUUCCUCACAGCAGGUAUAUGCCAAACUCAGAGAAAGGGCACUAGACUGGUGUGUCUUGCCUAAAAUUCACAGUCCCUUUCUCUUGACCCCACCUGCUUCCCAAGGGUAAUGGGUGUCUUGAGGUCUCAGGUCCUUUAUAGGGGAUUUUCCAAGGUUCUCCUCUAACAAGCAUGAGGUUCUCCAUAUGGAAGGGGUUGGUAUUAUGAAGACACAGGUGAGAGCUGCCAGCAGAGUAAUGACCACAACCCCUACACCCCGUGUUUACAUCUCCCUGAUGUCACCGAGGGUUUCCAUGAGCCUGUAAAAUGGAGUGUGGGGUCAUUUCCCAUAGUAGUUUGCCAUCUACUCUGGAUGUCCGAACUCACAAGCUAACCUCUGAGGUACAGACUGAGCCUGUUGUCAGGGAGGGAAGGGUAGGUGGGAGACUCUGUGGCAGAGGAAGCUGGAGGGUAGAGAAGGAAGUGUGGCCAGUCACAGACGUGGAGUUGGGAGUAGCUGUGCCAGGGAGGACAGCGACACCAAAAUGACGGCAGUGGCCGAAGUAGCACAUUGGGCUGUGGGUGGGAGGGUCUGGCUAGAGUAAGAGCAAACUUGAAGUCCCAGAAUCCUUUAGACUUAAUUCUAUAGGAAAUGACUUAUGCCCUAUGUAGGAAGCUAGGAAACCCAGCUAGGAAACUUUCCCAGAUGGCGAGAAGGGCAGGGGUUCUUUGAGGGUCCACAGCAGCUCGUGCCAACGUACAGGCAUGGAAGCAGGCAGGUGUGGCCAGCGCAUUCUAAACCACAUUCCUCAUGGUGGGGAGGAUUCCACAUUUCCUACUUCUUCAAGCCUCUUCGGAAACCUCUUGGCCAUGAGCACAGAUAACCCACUGCCUGUCAGAGCAGAGACUGAGACACUGCUCUAAAGAGCUUCACUCUGAGAGCUGCCCUGGAACCCCUGGGGAGUGAGACUUCGCACAUGGGCUGCCUGGCCCUUCAUUCAGCGACCUGGCUUCUAAAGUUGGUUCUUUCCUCCGUAUCUCAUAAAGAGGAAAAGGAUCUGCCUAAGAGAGGUUAUUGGGCAAACAGCCAGUUUGUUAGGCACGGGCUGAUAGAGUCAGAUGGUAGUUCGAUUCCCCCAAUGCUCCUUUAGCCUGUUAGUGAACAGAGGGCUAGAGGAAAUGUGAGGAUGCAGCGGCUUCAAAAAGAGAUAAGCUUAAUCAUUAACCAUGUGAGAAAGAAGGACUGAGAGGAGGGAGGAAGAAGACUUGAACCUGAGACAAAAGGAAGUGGCCUGCCCCAGAGGAGACAUCAGGUGUGUGGUGUCCCAUGUAUACCUAAUUCUCUGAGAGGGUCGCCUUUGCCAAGAAUGAAGAGUGGGUGGCAAACAGGUCAAGGGUACGCUAAGGGGCGGGGCAGCCUGCCUCCCCAUGGGUACUGAGCAUCCUGACUCUCUCCCCACUCUCUCCAGAGCCACUGCCAUCAUCUUUUGUCCUCCAAGUGUCCUCCACCCACCAAGCCUACCUCUAGUUCUCUUUCUCCCUGGGGCUGUGAGAAUGGCUGGGCGCCCAGCAGAGCCUGGACUUCAGCCUCAGUUCCUGGUCCCCAGUGUGUAUGUGUGAGUGUGUGUGAGUGCGUGUGCAGGGCCUGGGAUCAUCUACAGCACAGAUCAGAACACAGGAGUAGACAGCUCCUAGAGGGUGACCCAUGCAUGGGUCAUACCCUACACCAUGGAGCCCAGAUGACCUAUUACUAGGACCCACCACCAGCCUCACACCUGAGCGGCCAGAGCAGCAUCAGUCGCUGACCGGAGGAGCACAUCAUGGGCCCUCACAUCAUGUCCCAGUUGGAGCCUCUGAGGCUGGAAGGACCCCUCGCCACCUACAACCUGGGCCUGGUGGUUCUCUCAGGGUACAUCUUCUAUGAGUGAAGCAUGGUGUUCUCGGCGUGGUAUGAGGACCUGCGCAUCUCAUCCUCAUGACAGCGCUGUCAGGAGGCACAGAGGGGCGUCUUCCUGCAGACAGGUGGGCACUGUGGGAGCAGUGGGUGGCGCAGAACACGGAGUGGACUGGGGCUGACGCCAGGGCGAGCUGUGCGCCCGGGACAGAGGUCUGACUGCACAACCUCGUCCUUCCCAGCAGAUGGCGAGCGUGCGCCGGUAACGCUCCUCAAAGGCCUUUGACUUGCUUGACCGGGUAAGGGCCUGGUCGCUUAGGCGCUUGUGCGAGUUACCUCUGUCAUCUGGGUCUGGGGUGGUGUAUACGCAGCGUCCUGUGUGAACACUUCCCUCCAGCCUCCCGGUGGGAUGUUCUCAUGAUUUGCCCCGGCAGCCGCGGCUGAGGCUGAUGUCAGAGCAAAGCCUUAGUCCCAGUACCUGGUGGAGGAAGAACACUCACCGAUGCAGCAUCUCACUGCCACAGGUGAGAUGGGCCCCCACUCUUCACCCACGCAGCUGCAUAAAAGUAGGAAUUUGCCCCAUUAGCAACCAGGUUCCAGGUUCCAUGAAAAUGAAAGAGAAACAGAUUUUCAAAAAUUGAUAUUAUGUGGCAAGGGUCAUCAGACAGCAAAAAGUCCUUUAGUGUUAAUGAGGAGAAGAAACCCUGCUUGUGAAUCCAGAAGGUUCACAGGAUUGAGUGGGGGUGGGGCAUGGUCAUGAUUUGAGGGAAGUGAGGAAAGGGAGGGGCCUCUUUCUUAUCAAUUCCUUACCAAAAUGGAGUCGGAGUAGAGAACCUUCCAGAAUUGAUCUUACGAUCACCUGGGUCCUGGGAUGGGUGUUCAACAACUGAGUUCUCCCACCCUCCUAGAUGGGAUAGGAAAGCAGAUAGUAUCAAGCCAGAUUGUAUUCAAAUCCCAGCUUGGACAACUAUUAGUUGUAUAACCUUGGGCAAGUUACUUAACCUCCCUGUGUCUCAGUUUUCCCAUUUGUAAAAUGGAGGUAAGUAUAAAUCACAUAGUACUAUUAUAAGUGUUUAUAUGGUUUUUUAUGCAUACAAAGUAGCUGGCACACAGUAGGUACUAUAAAGGUGUGUGACUAGUGUUAUUUCCCUUGAGUUUCAGUCUCCCCUUUGGUAAAACAGACAGAACUACUCCCUUCUUGGUAGUUGAGGUCCCAGGAGAAGAGUCUGGAGAAACAAGGCCCCCACAGUUGACACCAUCUUUUCUUCCUCUGCAGUUCUGCUUUACAUUACGACAGAAACCAGAGCAGAUCACCUUUCAGCAUGUCUGUGACCAUGACAUCGUGCUCUUCAACUGGUAGGCUGGAGUCAAAUACGUGCCAGGUGGUCAAGGUACAUGACACAGCUGAGGGAAGCCCUACCCAGGCCCUUGUGAGGCAGGCUUCUCUCUGCUGGGCAGAGUUUCCAGCUAGGGAGGUUUCUUUCCUCCAGGGUCAGGGUGUGGCCAUCGCUGCUUACGUCUCCUACCAUCUCUUUGCUGAGUGCUCCUUUUUCAGUGGAUUCAACAUGGCUGUCCUGUACACCCCCAACCUCAUCGCUGUUUUCUUCACCUUCUACCCCCGGACAUACCUGAGGAGCAAGAGGGAGAAGCUGACUUAAGUGGCAGGACGUGAGGACAAAUAUAAGCAGAACAGUCCUACAGAGAGCUGGGUGGAAGACUGCGUGGCUUAUAGCCCACCUGUGCUGAGAAGGUACCUCUGGACUGCAUUUUGUCCUGUGAAGGAAGGAGGAGAAUUGCCUCGUGUCCAGAGCUCAGGAGGACAGAGAUGGAGUCAGCUUCCUGUACUCACUUCUGUUAUGGCACUUCUUACAUGGAUUUGUGACUGUUUGUACAUAUUCUUCCUCUACUAGAUGUGAGCCUCUCAUGGGAGAGGCUGUCUUGUUCUCAAUGUUCCCCACACCUGGCACAGCACCACCAUAAAUGUGUGUUUGGAUCCUCGUAUUCCAUGAUGGGCACUCAUGACCUCUGGGGAAGAUCAGGGCUUGGGGCAUGGAAGACGUCAAGGCUGGCUUGAUAUCUUGCAGUGGGAAAUGAUGACUGAGAAUAUCCAAGAGUGAGUGUGGUCCUGUUUGAUUGCUGGCGUGGCUGUGUAAGUGGUUACCCUACAUAUCUUCUUGUCUGUUCACUGCUGCCUACACGUGUAUUUAUAUAGUUGUAUGAUUCUCUGGGUGCGAGUGAUGUUGCAGAGAAUGUUAUGUGUAUACGUCUAAAUACUUGUUUUCAAAUAUAUAUGCAUGUUCCCAUUUGAUUUUCUCUCUGUGUGUUUGGUUGUCUCUUCUGUGAAUCUCUGAAAGUGCCACACUGGCAAA